CGUUCUUCUGGAGAUCGGAUGAGAGGGUCUCGUAGGUGUGGAGAUGGCCUGCCAGUGUAGACCCAGGAGAAAGUCGAUAUCGGCGGAUGAAAAAGCGAUUGCGCUCCUUACCUGAGAGGAUGAGCUUGGUUGCCAGGCUCCUCACAGCGGAAUCACAAAAGGCGAAAUGUACCAGGUACGAGUCAACGAAGGGCUUCAGAAGCGAGCGCAGGAAGGACAACACCUCCGCACCGUCUCCCUCGGGUGCCGUUACUUCCUGUGAGUCAGUCACGUGCAGGGCGCCGCAUUUCUUCAGGAGGUAGCACGCCUCCUCAAAAUCCUGAAAUUCAGAUUUUGUCCUUGUUCGUUUGUUGGUUAAUUUGUUUUAUAUGUAUAAGAAUGCCUUCUCUCUAUGAACUCAUUCAGUACCAACCAAUUCUGGACCAAGUCUCAAAAGACGUUUAAAAACGUCUUUGGGAGUGAAUGAGUUAAAUGCAGUAAAAUAGAAACUAACCCUUUCAUGCACCCUGUAACCUGAUAACAUGAUAAGAUGUCCACUGUAGUAACCGCUGUCCCUCAAAGGGUUAAAGUCAAAGUACAUUUUCAUGGGGGCUGGUAGGGCAGCGACUUCUCGAAUAAAAAUAUGAUUCUAUAAUGACGUUCAAAUUUGGUUUUUAGCCUGACCUUGGAUGUAUCACUGCUGUAUAGAAUAUGUAAGUCAACACAUCAAUGAGGAAGAUUUUGCUGGAUAAAGUGUUUUUUUUGUUGCCGUUCUAGAUGUUCUGUCUCAUUAUUGUCCGAAAGAGUCACUGCUCUGUAUUAAAUGUAAACUGAGACAAUGGUGAAAA